rnacentral:misc_RNA from 1 species
AUGAAGAACGCAGCGAAAUGCGAUAAGUAAUGUGAAUUGCAGAAUUCAGUGAAUCAUCGAAUCUUUGAACGCACAUUGCGCCCAUUAGUAUUCUAGUGGGCAUGCCUGUUCGAGCGUCAUUUCAACCCUUAAGCCUAGCUUAGUAUUGGGAAUCGACUUUACUGUCGUUCCUCAAAUUCAACGGCGGAUUUAUAGCAAUCUCUGAACGUAGUAAUUUUUUUCCUCGUUUUUGAAAUACUAUAAACCUCAGCCGCUAAACCCCCAAUUUUUCUAUGGUUGACCUCGGAUCAGGUAGGAAUACCCGCUGAACUUAAGCAUAUCAAUAAGCGGAGGA